rnacentral:rRNA from 1 species
UGGGGAAUUUUGGACAAUGGGGGCAACCCUGAUCCAGCCAUGCCGCGUGCGGGAAGAAGGCCUUCGGGUUGUAAACCGCUUUUAGUCGGGAAGAAAAGGCAAGGGUUAACACCUCUUGUUCUUGACGGUACCGGCGGAAUAAGCACCGGCUAACUACGUGCCAGCAGCCGCGGUAAUCCGUAGGGUGCGAGCGUUAAUCGGAAUUACUGGGCGUAAAGCGUGCGCAGGCGGUUUGUUAAGUCUGAUGUGAAAGCCCCGGGCUCAACCUGGGAAUGGCAUUGGAAACAGGCAAUCUCGAGUGCGGAAGACGGGUGUGGGAUUCCACGUGUAGCAGUGAAAUGC